UACGAAGGGGGCUAGCGUUGUUCGGAUUUACUGGGCGUAAAGCGCACGUAGGCGGAUCUUUAAGUCAGAGGUGAAAUCCCAAGGCUCAACCUUGGAACUGCCUUUGAUACUGGGGAUCUUGAGUCCGGGAGAGGUGAGUGGAACUGCGAGUGUAGAGGUGAAAAUUCGUAGAUAUUCGCAAGAACACCAGUGGCGAAGGCGGCUCACUGGACCGGAACUGACGCUGAGGCGCGAAAGCGUGGGGAGCAAACAGG
rnacentral:rRNA from 1 species